AUUUUAUUGAUCACAAGAAGAAUGAAAAUAUAGAAAAUGAACUUGUUUAUUGGGAAGAUAUUCAUGAAACAAGUCCUCAAUUUUCUCCCCUUUUCUUAAUCCAGGUAACAAAUUUCAAGUGCGGAGGAUACUCAAUCGGAAUAAGUUGUAGUCUAUUUCUAGCAGACCCUUUUGCCAUGACAAGUUUUUUAAAAUCUUGGUCCAAAAUCCACAACAACCUUGUCUCACAAAUUGACUCACCAAAAAUACCAGCAUUUUACACACCAAAUUUCACAAA
rnacentral:misc_RNA from 1 species